rnacentral:rRNA from 1 species
CCUACGGGGGGCUGCAGUGGGGAAUAUUGGACAAUGGGGGGAACCCUGAUCCAGCCAUGCCGCGUGUGUGAAGAAGGCCCUCGGGUUGUAAAGCACUUUCAGUGAGGAAGAACGCCUGGUGGUUAAUACCCAUCAGGAAAGACAUCACUCACAGAAGAAGCACCGGCUAACUCCGUGCCAGCAGCCGCGGUAAUACGGAGGGUGCGAGCGUUAAUCGGAAUUACUGGGCGUAAAGCGCGCGUAGGUGGCUUGAUAGGCCGGUUGUGAAAGCCCCGGGCUCAACCUGGGAACGGCAUCCGGAACUGUCAAGCUAGAGUGCAGGAGAGGAAGGUAGAAUUCCCGGUGUAGCGGUGAAAUGCGUAGAGAUCGGGAGGAAUACCAGUGGCGAAGGCGGCCUUCUGGACUGACACUGACACUGAGGUGCGAAAGCGUGGGUAGCAAACAGGAUUAGAUACCCUUGUAGUC